rnacentral:lncRNA from 1 species
UAACAUGAAAAAAGAAAAAUGUUGAAGAUCUUGGAGGAAGGAGAUGAAAAUGAAGAAAGAGUACGUAGAGAAAACAUGAGAAUGCAGUUGAAAAGUAGUACUAGGUGGUCAUUCAUGGCAUGAUUGCAGCAAUUGGAAAAUAUGGUUGUUUGUUGACAAUUGUUGAUGAAAAGCAACGAUGUCGUACGAAAAUGAAAAUGAAUGUUGAUGGCCCCUCUUGCAUUUCCAUCCAAACACAACACAUCCUCUUCCAUUUCCACCACUUCAACAUUCUUCUGCUUCUUUCCAUGCAAACAUUUAUUGACACCAUAAACUUCAAACCAUUCUACC